rnacentral:rRNA from 1 species
AUGAACGCUGGCGGCGUGCCUAACACAUGCAAGUCGAACGAAGCUUGACGGAUGAUUCUUCGGAAUGAAACCUGAUAUGACUUAGUGGCGGACGGGUGAGUAACACGUGAGCAACCUGCCUUUCAGAGGGGGAUAACGGCUGGAAACGGUCGCUAAUACCGCAUGAUGUGUUCGGAUGGCAUCAUCUGAACAUCAAAGAUUUAUCGCUGAAAGAUGGGCUCGCGUCUGAUUAGAUAGUUGGUGGGGUAACGGCCUACCAAGUCGACGAUCAGUAGCCGGACUGAGAGGUUGAACGGCCACAUUGGGACUGAGAUACGGCCCAGACUCCUACGGGAGGCAGCAGUGGGGAAUAUUGCACAAUGGGGGAAACCCUGAUGCAGCAACGCCGCGUGAAGGAUGACGGUUUUCGGAUUGUAAACUUCUUUUCUUAGUGACGAAGACAGUGACGGUAGCUAAGGAAUAAGCAUCGGCUAACUACGUG